rnacentral:rRNA from 1 species
ACUCCUACGGGAGGCAGCAGUGGGGAAUUUUGGACAAUGGGGGAAACCCUGAUCCAGCAAUGCCGCGUGAGUGAAGAAGGCCUUCGGGUUGUAAAGCUCUUUUGUCAGGGAAGAAACGGUGGGGGCUAAUAUCCUCUGCUAAUGACGGUACCUGAAGAAUAAGCACCGGCUAACUACGUGCCAGCAGCCGCGGUAAUACGUAGGGUGCAAGCGUCAAUCGGAAUUACUGGGCGUAAAGCGUGCGCAGGCGGUUGUGCAAGACAGAUGUGAAAUCCCUGGGCUCAACCUAGGAAUUGCAUUUGUGACUGCACGGCUAGAGUGUGUCAGAGGGGGGUAGAAUUCCACGUGUAGCAGUGAAAUGCGUAGAUAUGUGGAGGAAUACCGAUGGCGAAGGCAGCCCCCUGGGAUAACACUGACGCUCAUGCACGAAAGCGUGGGGAGCAAACAGGAUUAGAUACCCUGGUAGUCCACGCCCUAAACGAUGUCUACUAGUUGUCGGGUCUUAACUGACUUGGUAACGCAGCUAACGCGUGAAGUAGACCGCCUGGGGAGUACGGUCGCAAGAUUAAAACUCAAAGGAAUUGACGGGGACCCGCACAAGC